rnacentral:lncRNA from 1 species
GUUGCUAUAUUCUUAUGGUUGUCUUCUUGUUUUCCCUGAUAAUGAUCCAAACUAAAUAGAUACUGAAUAGACUGGCCUAUUUUUCUUCUUUCCAUAUGAUGUCUUAAAGCAGAUAGGUGCUGAUGGAUUUUGGUAGCUAUAUUCUUAUGGCUGUCUUUUUAUUUUUUCUAAUGAUGAUCCAAACUAAAUGGAUAUUAAAGGGACUGGUCUAUUUUUUU